UACGUAGGUGGCAAGCGUUGUCCGGAUUUACUGGGCGUAAAGAGCGCGCAGGCGGUCGUUCAAGUCGCGUGUGAAAGCCCCCGGCUCAACUGGGGAGGGUCACGCGAUACUGAUCGACUCGAAGGCAGGAGAGGGUAGUGGAAUUCCCGGUGUAGUGGUGAAAUUCGUAGAUAUCGAGAGGAACACCGGUGGCGAAGGCGGCCUUCUGGACAGCAACUGACGCUGAGACGCGAAAGCGUGGGGAGCAAACAGG
rnacentral:rRNA from 1 species